rnacentral:misc_RNA from 1 species
GGAAGCCAAGCAUGCCCAAACUUGAUCAAUUUCCUCUGUGCCAACAAGUUAUAGCAUAUCAUGCAAACGAGAUACUUCAUGGUAGGCAUGAAAAAUAUGGAUGCUUAUUCAUGAACUCUUUAAUCUAUAGCCAACCACUUGCAUGCAUAGCCGAGAAAGUUAAUCGGUCAUAUUACAAUGAUUUGUGUUCAUGACGAUAGAAGAAUGUGAAAGGGCCUCAAAUCUUAAAAAUAAUAAUGAAGGAGGCUUAGAAUCAAGACAUCAUGAAAAGUUGCAAUUGGAAGGAAACAGCACAAAAUCUAAAAAUAACUGAUACUCAAUAAACUAAC